rnacentral:rRNA from 1 species
AACGAACGCUGGCGGCAGGCCUAACACAUGCAAGUCGAGCGCCCCGCAAGGGGAGCGGCGGACGGGUGAGUAACACGUGGGAAUUUUCCUCAAGGUACGGAACAACUCAGGGAAACUUGGGCUAAUACCGUAUGAUGCAGAGAUGCCAAAGAUUUAUCGCCUUGGGAUAAGCCCGCGUCAGAUUAGGUAGUUGGUGGGGUAAUGGCCUACCAAGCCUGUGAUCUGUAGCUGGUCUGAGAGGACGAUCAGCCACAUUGGGACUGAGACACGGCUCAAACUCCUACGGGAGGCAGCAGUGGGGAAUCUUGCGCAAUGGACGAAAGUCUGACGCAGCCAUGCCGCGUGAAUGAUGAAGGUCUUAGGAUUGUAAAGUUCUUUAGCCUGUGACGAUGAUGACGGUAACAGGAGAAUAAGCCCCGGCUAACUUCGUG